rnacentral:rRNA from 1 species
CGGUUUUAAUAUUCCUGGACUUUUUAUAAUAAGUGGUGAAGUGGGGACGAAGAAGGCUAGGUGAGCCAGGCGUUGGUUGUCCUGGUACUUGCAUGUAGGGGGGAAGACUUGGCAAAUCCGGUUUUCCAUAACUCUGAGGUGCGAAGUGGUUCUGACCUUUUGGUACAGAGAAGUCAUUGAUGCCCGGCUUCCAGGAAAAGCUGCUAGCCAUAACUUAUAGAGAACCGUACCGCAAACCGACACAGGUGGACAGGUAGAGAAUACUAAGGCGCUUGAGAGAACUCGGGUGAAGGAACUAGGCAAAAUGGUACCGUAACUUCGGGAGAAGGUACGCCCUUUUGGGUGAGGGCAUUUACUGUCUGAGCUUAAGAGGGCCGCAGAGACCAGGUGGCUGCGACUGUUUAUUAAAAACACAGCACUCUGCAAAUUCGUAAGAAGACGUAUAGGGUGUGACGCCUGCCCGGUGCCGGAAGGUUAAUUGAUGGGGUUAUCUUCGGAGAAGCUCUUGAUCGAAGCCCCGGUAAACGGCGGCCGUAACUAUAACGGUCCUAAGGUAGCGAAAUUCCUUGUCGGGUAAGUUCCGACCUGCACGAAUGGCGUAACGAUGGCCACACUGUCUCCACCCGAGACUCAGUGAAAUUGAAAUCGCUGUGAAGAUGCAGUGUACCCGCGGCUAGACGGAAAGACCCCGUGAACCUUUACUAUAGUUUUGCACUGGACUUUGAUGAUGACUGUGUAGGAUAGGUGGGAGGCUGUGAAGUGAGGACGCUAGUUCUCAUGGAGCCGCCCUUGAAAUACCACCCUGUUGUUAUUGAGGUUCUAACUUGGUCCAGUAAUCCUGGAUGAGGACAGUGUAUGAUGGGUAGUUUGACUGGGGCGGUCUCCUCCCAAAGAGUAACGGAGGAGCACAAAGGUACCCUCGGUACGGUCGGACAUCGUACCAAGAGUGUAAAGGCAAAAGGGUGCUUGACUGCGAGAGUGACGGCUCGAGCAGGAACGAAAGUUGGUCUUAGUGAUCCGGUGGUUCUGAAUGGAAGGGCCAUCGCUCAACGGAUAAAAGGUACUCCGGGGAUAACAGGCUGAUACCGCCCAAGAGUUCAUAUCGACGGCGGUGUUUGGCACCUCGAUGUCGGCUCAUCACAUCCUGGGGCUGAAGCAGGUCCCAAGGGUAUGGCUGUUCGCCAUUUAAAGUGGUACGCGAGCUGGGUUUAGAACGUCGUGAGACAGUUCGGUCCCUAUCUGCCGUGGGCGUAGGAAAAUUGAGAGGAGCUGCUCCUAGUACGAGAGGACCGGAGUGGACGAACCUCUGGUGCACCGGUUGUCACGCCAGUGGCAUGGCCGGGUAGCUAAGUUCGGACGGGAUAACCGCUGAAAGCAUCUAAGCGGGAAGCCUCCCUCAAGAUGAGUUUUCCCAUGAAGCCCGUUGAAGACUACGACGUUGAUAGGCAAGGUGUGGAAGCGCAGUAAUGCGUGAAGCUAACUUGUACUAAUUGGCUGAUUGUCUUGACCAU